rnacentral:lncRNA from 1 species
ACACAGGCUAUCUGGUUCCAAGUUCUAUGCUAUUAACACGUCAACCACCUUACUGUUAAGCUUCUAAAGAUAACUUUUCUUCAUCUAGAAGAUUUGUCCCAUAUGGUUCUGCUUCUGUAAAUGCCUGUUGUGUUUACCUCUACUUUCUCAGGUUGGAGCUAUACAAUCGCCCUAAGUAUUCUGCUUACUACUGUUGUUUAAAAGGGCAUAAAUGAUAUGCCUUUUAUCCUCCAAAGUCCUUCAUGAUAUCUGUCUUUCUUAACUUUUACUUUUACGAUGUAUUUUAUUGCCACUAUAUUUAUAUUUGGAAAAAAAUGGUAAUUAUUAUGGACAUUGUCUCUAGAUCCUGGCUACCUUAAUUUGUUUGAAUAUCUAUUCCAACACUUACCAUCUCUGUGACACCUUGGGCAUAUUACUUAAUCACUCUAAAUCUCUGCUCCAUCUUUUGUAAACUGGGGAUAAUAGGGCCCACCACCUCAGUUAGGCAACGCAGGUAAAGCACUUAGUACAGUGCUUGGAACAUAAAAAGCACUUUAUUAAUAUUAUUACUUUUGAAAACUCUACAUUUCACUAUAAACACUUUGACAAUGAAGAGUUUAUAUUUCUCUUUAUAUUCAUUUUAAAGGUACAACUUUGCAUUCACUAUAUGGUCAAUAUUUUUAUAAGUAUCAAAAUAAUUUAGACCCAUUUGAGUCACAGCACAAAGCCAAUUUCUUUAUAAUUCCUACCUAAACAUUAUAUUAUUUCUACCAUUGUUCAGUAUGUUCACACAAUCUGGUAAAACACCUUGCUUCUUGUUACUCAUGUUAUUCCUUGAAAGACAUCAGUAAUUCCUGAUUAUUUCAAUAUGCACAGCUUUUUCUAGAUGUUACAUAAGUAGACAAGCAGAGACAGCAUGUAGAUAUAAUAUACCAUUUACAUAUUUAUAAUAGAUAGAGAGAGAGAUUUUAUAUGUAUAUAUAUACAUAAUCUCAUCCAAACCUAGCAAUCUGUUCUCUAGACUUCAUGGGAUUAUUAGCAAAAUGAAAUUUGAUAAUUCAUGUGAAGAUGCUUUGUAAAAUACUCCAUAUAAUGUAGUAUAUUACUGACAUUUAAAUGAUUAAUAUCUAAGACAGGGAUGAGGAUAAGGUAGUAUGGAACAGAUCUGCAUGAAGAUAUUUUCACCCUAAAGCCUUACAUUCCAAAUAUUUUUCAAAAUUGGAAUUAUAUUUUUUCCAGUCUAAGCAAUUCAUGUACCUAGCUUAAAACAUAAGGUGUACAAUGAAAAAUAGGUACUUUGAAUCUCUCCCUACUUAACUCCUGCAACUGUCUUUUAAAUCUACUAGCUCUUUUUGCUCCCUUAAUUCUAAAAAUCCUGUAUUUACUGCUUUUUCUUAAUUUUUAAAUUUGGGUCACUAUCCACUGUGGAAGAGUUGUUAGUUCUCUUCCUGAACUUCCCCCAGUCCUGUCUUAGUUGCACAUCCCCAACUCCCAAUAAAUCUUGAUUUUUUUAUUGCAUUAAUAUUUGGCAUUUUUAUUGUAAAUGGUACAUAAAUAUUUUUUACAGCUCUGUCACAGAGUGUGUUAUUAGUAUAUUUCAUUACUUUCACCUGGAGUUAAUAUUUGCCUUUCCGGUUAAUAUUUCAUGUUAUGCCUAUCAUCAAUUCUUACCUUAGCCCUGGGACUGAAUGCUAACAACUCUUUUUAAUACCAUUAAACACAGAAGCCAAUAUAACAGGUUUUGUUUUUGCUUAUGUUCAAAUAUCCCUCCUGGAACCGUUCAUCCUGCUCCUCCAUUCUAGGUUGUUUCUCUACAGACCUGCUACAAAAGAUUCAUUUUAGGACAUUCAUUCACUACCGUCCUGGAAAUUCUCUUCAUCUUGCUCCUACCUUAGGUCCAUUAUCUUCCUAAAGCUCAAGUUUUCCUUUCUUAUGAUUUAUUUCUUCAUUUACACAUUCUAGAAGUUCCCAAAAUAAAGGUAAGAUUGCAUUUGAGGGAUUUUGAGACUUUGAAUGGCUGAAAAUGCCUUUGCUUUACCCGCACAUGCGAUUGCUGCUUUAAGCUGGCAUAGCUCUCUAGGUCCAAUCAACAGAUAGAAAUGAUAGAUACAUUAAACAGGAGAAGUUAAUAUAGAAAAUUUGUAACUAUAUGAAAAAGGAAGUUUACAAGAUUUAAGAAAAUUCCAUUUGGCACCACAGGGAUGUGGGAGAGUGCCUAGGAAGAAAAAAUUUGAAGGGGGUUUGGCAAUCUAAGGGUUUUAGGUAGAGGAUAGGUGAUACAUGUGUCUGAAGCUCAGAUGAAAACUCUGGGUUGGGAUACAGAUUUUGGAGCCAUACACAUAGAUGGUACAUUGCUAUAAAGUAAAUGCUUGUGUCCCUUCAAAAUUCAUAUGUUAAAUCCUGAUGCCCCACGUGAUAGUAUGUGGAGGUGAGGCCUUUGGGAGGUGCCCCAGCGAUGAAGGAGGAGGUUUUGUGAACAGGACUUGUGCCCUCAUAAGAGAGACCCCAGAGAGCUUACUUGUCCCUCUGCCAUGUGAGAGCACAGCAAGACCACUGUCUAUAAACAUGGAAGUGGGGCCUCAGCAUACACUGAAUCUGCCAGGGACUUGACCUUCAACUUUCCAGCCUCCAGAACUGUGAGAAAUAAAUAGUUUUGUUGUUGUGGUUCACAAACCACCCAGUCUAUGGUAUUUCUGUCAUAGCAGCUCAAAGAUAUGUUAUGUUAGCCCUUGAAAAUCAAGUGUGAUUCCCAGAUUUAGUGCCUAGGAGAAUGGGUGAAUACAGGUAUCUUUCAAAAAAAAAAAAAGAGAGAACACAGAUGAAGAAAAAUAUUUCUUUCAACAAAACAUGAGUUCAGGUUUGGGCAAGGUGAAUUUGAGGCCCUUUGUUAAAUCCAAGUGCAUGUCUAAAAGUUGGUUAAAAAUAAGGGGGAAAAAUGUGAACGGGAAAUACCCUGUUUAGCCUCAUUAGAAUAACGACAAGGAUAUCAGCUCCUUCCUGAAAAUAAUUUUGCGGAGUUCCCAUCCUGACUUAGCAGUAAUGAACCCAACUAGUAUCCAUGAGGACACAGGUUUGAUCCCUGGCCUCGUUCAGUGGUUAAGGAUCCAGCAUUGCCGUGAGCUGUGGUGUAGGUCGCUGAUGCAGCUUGGAUCCUGCAUUGCUGUGGCUGUGGUGUAGGCUGGCAGCUGCAGCUCUGAUUCAACCCCUAGCCUUGGAACUUCCAUAUGCCACAAGAGUAGUCCUAAAAAGACAAAAUAAUAAUAAUUUGGGGCCUCUUUAAGGAUUUAUAUGUAUUUUCUCUUCUCUCAUUCAACUUAUUUACACAUCUAUCAGUGAAGACAUCACAUGAUGUAGUUAUUUGUAUACAUAUGAAUAAAUUUAGACUGUCUCAUGAAAGUACAAAAUUUUUUCUGUAAUUUUUCCUAUUACUUUUAAGUUUCUGAAAUAUACAUGUCUGGGUUGUCUCACAUAAUAUUAAAUUGAAUGAAAGGCUACAAAUGCAUACAAUAUAAUUUUCCAUAAAUUGUUUAACAUGUAGUUUAUUUGAAUAGUAUAAGCAAUAUUUCCUUGAGAAACUUCUAAAGUCUUUCUUUAUUGCAGUGAUCAAAACUGUUAUUUAAUACAGUUUUACCUUAAAGACUGGCAAGUCUACUACUAGAAAAGAAUGACAAUUAUAAAAUUACAACUAGAUAUUGUUAUUAUUUCAAUAUCCUAAAGUAAAUAAUAGUACUAUUUUGCAGUUAAGUAUAUUAACUAAGAACAUUUAGUAUUGAUAUCAUAGAUUAUUUCUAUAUCAGUUUCUUACAGCUGCUAUAGCAAAUUAUCACAAAUUCAGUGGCUUAAAGUAAAUCCUAUUUAUUAUCUUACAGUUCUAGAGCCCAGAUAUCCCAGGGUAAUUUUAUGAAGCUAAAAUCAAAGUGUCAAUAAAGCUGCAUUCCUUUUAGGAGCACCAGGGGAAAGUCCAAUUCCUGGCCUUUUCUAUAUUCCAGAAUUCCUUGCCUCGUGGCCCCUUAGUCCAUCUGCCAAGUGCAUCAUUCUCAAUUCUGCGCCCUUCAUCACUCCUUUCCCCACCUUCUCCAACCUUCCUGCCUUCCGUUUACAAAGACCCUUGUGAUUCAUUUGGGCUCACCUGGAUAAUCCAGGAUAAUCCUACAGUUUAAAGAAUUUUAAUUUAAUUACACCUGCAAAGUCCCUUUUGUCAUGUAAAGCAACAUACUCAAAGGUUGGGAUUAGAAUGUGGACAUCUUGGGAAGGAGAAGUAGGCCAUCUAUCAUAAUUCAUUUUUAAUUACAUUUACAGCCAUUUUGGUAAUAUUUUACUUAAGGUAAUCAUAUAGAUACUCUUUUACCUUCCUCUAUACCUGUCUCUAUAAUUCUUAGAGGCCACAACUAGAGACUCAGAACAGAUAUGAAAGUAAGGUUCCAUGAUGCAAUUUUCCACUGCUCCUCUUUCUUAGUACUUUGUACCAACAACUUUAUUAUUAUUUAAGACAGUAACGGAUUGAGUAGUUUUUACUUAUCUAUUUAUUUAUUUAUUUAUUUAUGUUUUUGUCUUCUUAGGGCCGCACCCACAGCAUACAGAGGGUCUAAUCAGAACUGUAGCCAUCGGCCUACACCACAGCCACAGCAAUGCCAGAUCCGAGCCAUGUCUGCGACCUACCACACAGCUCAUGGCAAUGCUGGAUCCUUAACCCACUGAGCAAGGCCAGGGAUUGAACCUGCAACCUCAUGGUUCCUAGUUGGAUUGGUUUCCACUGUGCCAUGAUGGUAACUCCGAGUAGUUUUUCUUUAGUUUGUAGCAUUAUUCUACUAUCUAGUUCUUAAAAUUACACCAUUAAGUUACUUUAUGUCAAAUUCAGUGCUAAGGCUGAGAAUGCAAAUAUAAAAGGUAUAUCACCACAUUCAAGAAACAUGAUAAAAUGAAGAAUCUAGUUCCAUAGACCAAAAUUAUACUGCAAUGUAAUUAAUAUUGUAAGUAUUAACAAAGUCAAUUGUUAGCCUAUUAGUCAUGUUUUUGCUUCUUUUCAUUUUGAAUCUUUGUUUUUAGUAAGCUAUAUGGUUACAUUUGUUUAAAUAUUUCCUAUGGGAGAUUUAUCUUCUUUAUAUGAAAGUAAUAUGUAUAAGUAGUAGGAACUAUUUAUUUACUUUAGCAGAAAACUUAUAUCUGCUUCCUGUUUAAAUAUUCACUGGCUGCAUGCAUGAUUUAUUGCCACCAACUUCUAUUGUGUGUCAUCAAUGUUACCCUUGUGGAAACAGGGGCUAAUAGAGCCAAAUAUCGAGGACAUAUUAAGAAAGUAAGAGAACUCCGAUGGGGAAAUUUAACAAUUUAUGUGUACCUAACUUCCACGAUCAGCUCAGAUGACUGUUGUGUUCCAACCAGCUGUACAUUUGGCCGAAGUGGUCAAACACCUCUCCCAGUUUCAGUUACCCCUGCAGAGUGUUCCUGUCCUUGAGUCACUUCACAGAUCACUGCAAUCUCUUAAUGUUUGUCUCCAAAAACAAUCUUUAAGAUUAAUGCAAACUUGUAUAUUCUAAUGGAACAGUGAGGUAACUCAAAUAAACAAAUGCAUUGAAAACUAAACUUUCAUUUAUACAAAAAUAAGCCAAAAAGUAGCAUCUUCUGUUAUAAGUUGGGAUUGCUUGACUGGAAGCAGUAGUAAUUUAUAUAAUGAAAUUAAGCAAAAUGGAAUUUAUUGGUAAGAUAUCUGAAAUACAGAAUCCAGCAGACACUAGAAAAUCAGAUUUCAAAUUGUAGAAACUAAGAUAUCUCUAGAGUCCAUAAAACAGAAACAAUAAUAUUCCAAUAGCAGAAGUAUUAUAAUCAGAGUUAUACCCUUGGAAAAUCCAACCAUUUUCAGUUCCAUUAUACUUCUGCUCAUGAUCUAAUUUUUAAGUUAAGUAUAUGCUAAUCUAGCCUGAGAAACAUGCCAUUGGUUAGUGGACAUUGGUUAGCCCCUCCUCCAUAUCUAUUCUGGCUUUCUAGGUCUGCCAUAACUAAAUACCGCAGACUAGAUGGCCUAAGCAAUGUAAGUUUAUUUUCUCAUACUUCUGGAGGGAAAAAAUCCAAAUUCAAGGUAUCAGAAAGGAUCGCUUCUCCCGAGGCCUCACCCCUUGGCUUGUAAAUGGCUGUCUUGUUGCAGCAUCUCUAUACCUAGGAAACCUGGUGUCUCUUUGUGUUUUGAAAUUUCCUUUUCUACAAGGACACCAGUCUGAUUGGAUUAAGGACUACCCUAACAGCCUCAUUUUAAUUUAAUCACUUCUUUAAGGGCUUUAUUUCCUAUUAUAGUCACAUUCGGAGGUACUAGAGUUUCUGGUUUCAACACAUGAAUUUUGGGUGGGGCACAAUUUAGCCCAUUACAUUAUCUUACUGGAGGAGGGGGGAAUAAAAGUCUCAUUCUUCAAAGAAGAGUACCUUAAGGACAGAUUGAGAACACUGAAGGACACUGCAACUAAGAAGAGAAAUGGGGAGGAGAAAAAUUAUCUAUGGAGGAAGGACAGGCACAUAUGUGAAUCUUACUCCAACAACACAGACUUGCAUUGCAACUGGGAGAUCUGCACGAUAUGGACUUUCUGAGGAGCAUUUUUGAAAAGGGAGACCCAAAGUCAAGUGUGGAGAAUAAAACAAGGUCACUAGAGGAAUCCCAGCCCUCUGAUGCCCACAUCAACAACAUACUGCAAACACAGUACAACUAGGUUAACACAAACCCUCACUCUACAGGUUUAUUGCCUCGGUGUCUACUGUCCUAUAUAAUAUGCUCAGCUUUCAACAAAACAGUGCAAGGGAUGACAAAAGGCAGGUUGGGGAUGGGGAUCCUGAAUCUACAAAGCAAUUAUCAGAACCAGACUCAGAUGAGAUAUAGAUAUUGAUAUUCUCACACAGACUUAAAUAUCCAUAAGCAAAAUGUUGAUGGCUCUAACGUAAAGAUAGUUAAACCUGUUAGAUCUAGAUCGAGUAGAUAAUUUCAACACAGAGAUGAAAGCAUCAGAAAUAACAAAAUAGAAAUGGUGAAAUUAAAAACACAGUAACAGAAACGAAUAUGCCUUUGAUGGCCUCUUCUGUAGAUUCAAACAACCAAGGAAAGUGUGAGUGAACUUAAAAAUAUGGCAACAGAAAUUAUACAAA